rnacentral:rRNA from 1 species
CCUACGGGGUGCUGCAGUGGGGAAUAUUGGGCAAUGGGCGCAAGCCUGACCCAGCAACGCCGCGUGAAGGAAGAAGGCUUUCGGGUUGUAAACUUCUAUUGACAGGGAAGAGCAGAAGACGGUACCUGUCGAAUAAGCCACGGCUAACUACGUGCCAGCAGCCGCGGUAAGUCGUAGGUGGCAAGCGUUGUCCGGAUUUACUGGGUGGAAAGGGCGUGUAGCCGGGCUGACAAGUCAGAUAUGAAAUCCGGGGGCUCAACCCCCGAACUGCAUUUGAAACCGUUGGGCUUGAGUAUCGGAGAGGCAGGCGGAAUUCCUAGUGUAGCGGUGAAAUGCGUAGAUAUUAGGAGGAACACCAGUGGCGAAGGCGGCCUGCUGGACGACAACUGACGGUGAGGCGCGAAAGCGUGGGGAGCAAACAGGAUUAGAUACCCGAGUAGUC